rnacentral:rRNA from 1 species
GGUGAAAAGCACCCCGGAAGGGGAGUGAAAUAGAACCUGAAACCGUGUGCUUACAAGUAGUCAGAGCCCGUUAAUGGGUGAUGGCGUGCCUUUUGUAGAAUGAACCGGCGAGUUACGAUUUGAUGCAAGGUUAAGCAGUAAAUGUGGAGCCGUAGCGAAAGCGAGUCUGAAUAGGGCGUUUAGUAUUUGGUCGUAGACCCGAAACCAGGUGAUCUACCCUUGGUCAGGUUGAAGUUCAGGUAACACUGAAUGGAGGACCGAACCGACUUACGUUGAAAAGUGAGCGGAUGAACUGAGGGUAGCGGAGAAAUUCCAAUCGAACCUGGAGAUAGCUGGUUCUCUCCGAAAUAGCUUUAGGGCUAGCCUCAAGUGAUGAUUAUUGGAGGUAGAGCACUGUUUGGACGAGGGGCCCCUCUCGGGUUACCGAAUUCAGACAAACUCCGAAUGCCAAUUAAUUUAACUUGGGAGUCAGAACAUGGGUGAUAAGGUCCGUGUUCGAAAGGGAAACAGCCCAGACCACCAGCUAAGGUCCCAAAAUAUAUGUUAAGUGGAAAAGGAUGUGGCGUUGCCCAGACAACUAGGAUGUUGGCUUAGAAGCAGCCAUCAUUUAAAGAGUGCGUAAUAGCUCACUAGUCGAGUGACACUGCGCCGAAAAUGUACCGGGGCUAAACAUAUUACCGAAGCUGUGGAUUGUCCUUUGGACAAUGGUAGGAGAGCGUUCUAAGGGCGUUGAAGCAUGAUCGUAAGGACAUGUGGAGCGCUUAGAAGUGAGAAUGCCGGUGUGAGUAGCGAAA